rnacentral:rRNA from 1 species
GUGCCAGCAGCCGCGGUAAUACGUAGGUUGCGAGCGUUAUUCGGAUUUACUGGGCGUAAAGCGCACCGAGGUGGCUUCUUAAGUUGGAUGUAAAAUCUCCCGGCUUAACUGGGAGGCGCCAUUCAAUACUGGGGAGCUUGAGGUCAGCAGGGGAAGGUGGAAUUCCCGGUGUAGUGGUGGAAUGCGUAGAGAUCGGGAGGAACACCAGUGGCGAAAGCGACCUUCUGGGCUGCACCUGACACUCUAGUGCGAAAGCGUGGGGAGCAAACAGGAUUAGAAACCCCCGUAGUCC